GACGAACGCUGGCGGCGUGCUUAACACAUGCAAGUCGAACGGUGAAGCGCCUUCCUUUUUGGUGGGUGUGGAUGAGUGGCGAACGGGUGAGUAACACGUGAGUAACCUGCCCCCUUCUUCUGGAUAACCGCAUGAAAGUGUGGCUAAUACGGGAUAUUCUGGGUCUGUCGCAUGAUGGGUCUGGGAAAGAUAUUGUUUCGGUGGGGGAUGGGCUCGCGACCUAUCAGCUUGUUGGUGGGGUGAUGGCCUACCAAGGCGGUGACGGGUAGCCGGCCUGAGAGGGUGGACGGUCACACUGGGACUGAGACACGGCCCAGACUCCUACGGGAGGCAGCAGUGGGGAAUAUUGCACAAUGGGCGCAAGCCUGAUGCAGCGACGCCGCGUGAGGGAUGGAGGCCUUCGGGUUGUGAACCUCUUUCGCCAGUGAAGCAGGCCUGCCUCGUUUGUGGGUGGGUUGACGGUAGCUGGAUAAGAAGCGCCGGCUAACUACGUG
rnacentral:rRNA from 1 species